rnacentral:rRNA from 1 species
GCUCAGAUUGAACGCUGGCGGCAGGCCUAACACAUGCAAGUCGAGCGGUAGCACAGAGAGCUUGCUCUCGGGUGACGAGCGGCGGACGGGUGAGUAAUGUCUGGGAAACUGCCUGAUGGAGGGGGAUAACUACUGGAAACGGUAGCUAAUACCGCAUAACGUCGCAAGACCAAAGUGGGGGACCUUCGGGCCUCAUGCCAUCAGAUGUGCCCAGAUGGGAUUAGCUAGUAGGUGGGGUAACGGCUCACCUAGGCGACGAUCCCUAGCUGGUCUGAGAGGAUGACCAGCCACACUGGAACUGAGACACGGUCCAGACUCCUACGGGAGGCAGCAGUGGGGAAUAUUGCACAAUGGGCGCAAGCCUGAUGCAGCCAUGCCGCGUGUGUGAAGAAGGCCUUCGGGUUGUAAAGCACUUUCAGCGGGGAGGAAGGCGUUAAGGUUAAUAACCUUGGCGAUUGACGUUACCCGCAGAAGAAGCACCGGCUAACUCCGUGCCAGCAGCCGCGGUAAUACGGAGGGUGCAAGCGUUAAUCGGAAUUACUGGGCGUAAAGCGCACGCAGGCGGUCUGUCAAGUCGGAUGUGAAAUCCCCGGGCUCAACCUGGGAACUGCAUUCGAAACUGGCAGGCUAGAGUCUUGUAGAGGGGGGUAGAAUUCCAGGUGUAGCGGUGAAAUGCGUAGAGAUCUGGAGGAAUACCGGUGGCGAAGGCGGCCCCCUGGACAAAGACUGACGCUCAGGUGCGAAAGCGUGGGGAGCAAACAGGAUUAGAUACCCUGGUAGUCCACGCCGUAAACGAUGUCGAUUAGGAGGUUGUGCCCUUGAGGCGUGGCUUCCGGAGCUAACGCGUUAAAUCGACCGCCUGGGGAGUACGGCCGCAAGGUUAAAACUCAAAUGAAUUGACGGGGGCCCGCACAAGCGGUGGAGCAUGUGGUUUAAUUCGAUGCAACGCGAAGAACCUUACCUGGUCUUGACAUCCAUAGAACUUUCCAGAGAUGGAUUGGUGCCUUCGGGAACUGUGAGACAGGUGCUGCAUGGCUGUCGUCAGCUCGUGUUGUGAAAUGUUGGGUUAAGUCCCGCAACGAGCGCAACCCUUAUCCUUUGUUGCCAGCGGUUCGGCCGGGAACUCAAAGGAGACUGCCAGUGAUAAACUGGAGGAAGGUGGGGAUGACGUCAAGUCAUCAUGGCCCUUACGACCAGGGCUACACACGUGCUACAAUGGCAUAUACAAAGAGAAGCGACCUCGCGAGAGCAAGCGGACCUCAUAAAGUAUGUCGUAGUCCGGAUUGGAGUCUGCAACUCGACUCCAUGAAGUCGGAAUCGCUAGUAAUCGUAGAUCAGAAUGCUACGGUGAAUACGUUCCCGGGCCUUGUACACACCGCCCGUCACACCAUGGGAGUGGGUUGCAAAAGAAGUAGGUAGCUUAACCUUCGGGAGGGCGCUUACCACUUUGUGAUUCAUGACUGGGGUGAAGUGGUAACAAGGU